rnacentral:rRNA from 1 species
AUACGGAGGAUGCGAGCGUUAUCCGGAUUUAUUGGGUUUAAAGGGUGCGCAGGCGGGCGAUUAAGUCAGCGGUGAAAGGCUCGGGCUCAACCGGAGCAGUGCCGUUGAUACUGGUUGUCUUGAAUGCGGUCAAGGCCGGCGGAAUGUGGCGUGUAGCGGUGAAAUGCAUAAAUAUGACACAGAACACCGAUAGCGAAGGCAGCUGGCCGGGCCUGCAUGGACGCUGAGGCACGAAAGCGUGGGGAUCGAACAGUAUUAGAUACCCUGGUAGUCCACGCUGUAAACGAUGGACACUCGUUGUCGGCGACAGACAGUCGGCGGCCAAGCGAAAGUGAUAAGUGUCCCACCUGGGGAGUACGGUCGCAAGGCUGAAACUCAAAUGAAUUGGCGGGG